GGGUUGUGAGGUUAAGCGACUAAGCGUACACGGUGGAUGCCCUGGCAGUCAGAGGCGAUGAAGGACGUGCUAAUCUGCGAUAAGCGUCGGUAAGGUGAUAUGAACCGUUAUAACCGGCGAUUUCCGAAUGGGGAAACCCAGUGUGAUUCGUCACACUAUCAUUAACUGAAUCCAUAGGUUAAUGAGGCGAACCGGGGGAACUGAAACAUCUAAGUACCCCGAGGAAAAGAAAUCAACCGAGAUUCCCCCAGUAGCGGCGAGCGAACGGGGA
rnacentral:rRNA from 2 species